rnacentral:rRNA from 1 species
UACGUAGGGUGCGAGCGUUAAUCGGAAUUACUGGGCGUAAAGCGUGCGCAGGUGGUUUGUUAAGUCAGAUGUGAAAGCCCCGAGCUUAACUUGGGAACUGCGUUUGAGACUGGCAAGCUAGAGUCUGUUAGAGGGGGGUAGAAUUCCACGUGUAGCAGUGAAAUGCGUAGAGAUGUGGAGGAAUAUCGAUGGCGAAGGCAGCCCCCUGGGACAUGACUGACGCUCAUGCACGAAAGCGUGGGGAGCAAACAGGAUUAGAUACCCUGGUAGUCCACGCCCUAAACGAUGUCAACUGGUUGUUGGGCAACUUGCUUGUUCAGUAACGAAGCUAACGCGAGAAGUUGACCGCCUGGGGAGUACGGUCGCAAGAUUAAAACUCAAAGGAAUUGACGGGGACCCGCACAAGCGGUGGAUGAUGUGGAUUAAUUCGAUGCAACGCGAAAAACCUUACCUACCCUUGACAUGUAUGGAAGUUUGUUGAGAGAUGAAUGUGCCCGAAAGGGAGCCAUAACACAGGUGCUGCAUGGCUGUCGUCAGCUCGUGUCGUGAGAUGUUGGGUUAAGUCCCGCAACGAGCGCAACCCUUGCUAUUAAUUGCCAUCAUUGAGUUGGGCACUUUAAUAGGACUGCUGGUGAUAAACCGGAGGAAGGUGGGGAUGACGUCAAGUCCUCAUGGCCCUUAUGGGUAGGGCUUCACACGUCAUACAAUGGCCGGUACAGAGGGUAGCCAACCCGCGAGGGGGAGCCAAUCUCAGAAAGCCGGUCGUAGUCCGGAUUGUUCUCUGCAACUCGAGAGCAUGAAGUCGGAAUCGCUAGUAAUCGCGGAUCAGCAUGUCGCGGUGAAUACGUUCCCGGGUCUUGUACACACCGCCCGUCACACCAUGGGAGUGGGUGAUACCAGAAGUAGGCAGUCUAACCGCAAGGGGGGCGCUUACCACGGUAUGAUUCAUGACUGGGGUG